rnacentral:lncRNA from 1 species
GGAUGAGUAUUUUUGGUGGCUAUCUCUAAGCACUUGAGCAACCAGUUCAUCAUAAUACCUCAUCCCCUUUUGAUAGUAUUGGAUUUCCUAUGGACUCAAAUGUGAUUUCUCACAAAGUGUAAAAUGAAGAGUCUUGCUUGAAGCUUGAGCCAAUCCUAUCCUUCCUUCAUCAAAGGGGCAUCUCCACACAAUCCUACAACCAAAGCUCUCUCUGGACUAAACCUCAAAGUGUUAGUCCAAGAGACAAUCUAUGUUGUCAUGAAUUAUCAAAACCACCAAAGGAGCAUCUUGUGCUUUAAAUCUCCCCUUUUUUGGUAAUUUAUGACAACAUACAAUCAAAGCUUCAAAUAAAGAUAGGCAUUAGAAUAUGCCAGCUUUGAAAGAUACAUGACUAGUAGACGCUCCCCCUAAAUGUGUGAAGUCC